UACGAAGGGGGCUAGCGUUGCUCGGAAUCACUGGGCGUAAAGCGCACGUAGGCGGACUCUUAAGUCGGUGGUGAAAUCCUGGAGCUCAACUCCAGAACUGCCUUUGAUACUGGGAGACUUGAGUCCGGGAGAGGUGAGUGGAACUGCGAGUGUAGAGGUGAAAUUCGUAGAUAUUCGCAAGAACACCAGUGGCGAAGGCGGCUCACUGGCCCGGUACUGACGCUGAGGUGCGAAAGCGUGGGGAGCAAACAGG
rnacentral:rRNA from 1 species